GAUUGAUCUAUCAAUGAUGGAUAUUCUGUAGACUGAUUUUAACUGUGAUGUUAGAUAAAGAGAUUCGUCACUACCACUGAGAUAGAUCAAUA